UACGUAGGGUGCAAGCGUUGUCCGGAAUUAUUGGGCGUAAAGAGCUUGUAGGCGGUUUGUCGCGUCUGCUGUGAAAUUUCGGGGCUCAACCCCGAACUUGCAGUGGGUACGGCCAGACUAGAGUGUGGUAGGGGAGACUGGAAUUCCUGGUGUAGCGGCGAAAUGCGCAGAUAUCAGGAGGAACACCGAUGGCGAAGGCAGGUCUCUGGGCCAUAACUGACGCUGAGAAGCGAAAGCAUGGGGAGCGAACAGG
rnacentral:rRNA from 1 species